UAGUAGUUGUGCGAGUUUUUCGUUGUGUUUAUCAGUAAAUACUACAGCGUCGUAUUUCUGCGAUUGUGGCGCAUGAAAUGCAUUAAUCGUUUGGUUUCCUCAGACUUCGUCGUCUUUCGACCAGCCGUGUGACAGUGAUUGAGUAAAACAUGAAAGAACAAAAGCCAUCAGGACUGAGGCCAUCCUCAAAGAUCGGCAGGCUAUGUUCCACCAUGCCGUCUAGACCAGCCAUCUCACCUUCUUCACCAAGACAAGUGAAAAGAUAUCUUAGAAGAUAGGAUAGGUCAAUGACUAUUCGUUGAAUUCUCAUUAAGAGAGAAAAUGUAACAUACUUUUUGCGGCUGAGUUCUUUUUUACACUAUUCGCGGUUCGUCCCUUCUUUGAAUGCACACUGCGAAGACAAUGCGAGGACGACGACGCGUUAUUAAUUCUUCUUGCACAUGGUGUUGCACGCACAUGAAAGACAGAGAGAGGGAGAGCACCAUGCACGUCCACGAGCGCGUCGUGAACGAGAGUGCUCUUUUAUGCGCAAAUCGCUCACGUGUCGUUCCUCGACCGUUCGUGACGACGCAUCGGCCGCCAGAGAAACCGGGUAAAUAUAUCGUUAUCUUAGAUCGAAGAGUCGAGUUGUAUUGAAAGGAUAAAAUAUCAACAGUACAUAGCGCGUUUUGCAAAUGCUUUUAGAAAAUUUAGAAAAUUAAAAGCAGAAAACGAAUUUUUCUCUAAAAUUCGCUGUAAUCUACAUAAUGAUCUAUAAUUGACUAAUCUCACAAUUGAUUGAGUGUACACCAUGUAUUUAGGCGGUAAAUCGCUGAAAGUAGUUCGAGUGAUUAAGAAUGUUGUCUCUUGAGUAAUUAAAUAAUUCGGAAGAAAGAAAAAAAGAAAUUCGAAGAAUUAUG